UCCAUUUCUCACGCAUUCGCGACUGCUAUUCUUCUUCUUCUUCAGCCCCUGCGCCAUUGUUCUUCUUCUUGCGUUGCCGUGUUCGUUGUGCUUUGGAGGUUCUUCUCGUCCGUGUUUUGACGGCAUUGGGGACGUGCAUUGGGCUGCUCCACCGUCGAGGCUUACGGAUGAAAUAAGCAGCAUACGGAUUUUAGGCUUACGGAUGAAAUAAGCAGCAUAUGGAUCAACUUGAUCAGUAACGUGCAUAAAUGGCUGAAGCUGAUGCUGCAGUUGAAGCUCGUAAGAAGCCUUCUGUGGAAGCAGGUCCUCGAGUUGCUGCUGAAGGGCUUGUAAUCAAUGAAUGGAAAGAGAGAAGGGAAAAGUACUUGGCCCGGCAACAAGUUCAAGCAGUAGAUUCAGUGUAAAACACAAUUUGUUCUUCCAGCUAAUUCUUUUCUUCCGGGAAACACAAUCAUUGCUAUGCUACUGUUGCCGUCAACCUUGGAUGCGCUUCAAAAGAAUUGUUGGGGGAAUUGGUUGGUACCCAAUUGGUAGUUUGAGAACGCAAUCUGAUGGAAAGAUUCGUCGUAUAAUUUGUCAAAAUUCUUGUUCUUUGGAGGAACAGUCCGAUUUGUACAUAGUAAAGUUUGCUUGUUUGUAAAAUAAAUGUAAUUCCUCACUGCCUUCUGCCUGUGAAAUAAUCUUGAAAUAACAGGUUAUUCAUGAUAAGAUCAUUUUUUUUUUGUGCAUC